AUGGCAUCUAUCAAGCAGGUGCCUAAACAAUUAUCUUUCUAUGGUCUGUUGGCUAUUUCAGAACUUUGGAAAUGUAAUGGUCAAUUCAUUAGAAAGAAACAGUA
ensembl:snoRNA